rnacentral:rRNA from 1 species
CGGGUGCACUGAUCCGGCCGGGCCUUUCUCUCUGUGGAACCCCAUGGCCUUCACUGGCUGUGCGGGGGAAACAGGACUUUUACUGUGAAAAAAUUAGAGUGCUCCAGGCAGGCCUAUGCUCGAAUACAUUAGCAUGGAAUAAUAGAAUAGGACGCGUGGUUCUAUUUUGUUGGUUUCUAGGACCGCCGUAAUGAUUAAUAGGGACAGUCGGGGGCAUCAGUAUUCAAUUGUCAGAGGUGAAAUUCUUGGAUCUAUUGAAGACUAACUACUGCGAAAGCAUUUGCCAAGGAUGUUUUCAUUGAUAAGGAACGAAAGUUAGGGGAUCGAAGACGAUCAGAUACCGUCGUAGUCUUAACUAUAAACUAUGCCGACUAGGGAUCGGACGAUGUUAUUUCUUGACGCGUUCGGCACCUUUCGAGAAAUCAAAGUGCUUGGGCUCCAGGGGGAGUAUGGUCGCAAGGCUGAAACUUAAAGAAAUUGACGGAAGGGCACCACCAGGGGCGGAACCUGCGGCUUAAUUUGACUCAACACGGGGAAACUCACCAGGUCCAGACACAGUGAGGAUUGACAGAUUGAGAGCUCUUUCUUGAUUCUGUGGGUGGUGGUGCAUGGCCGUUCUUAGUUGGUGGAGUGAUUUGUCUGCUUAAUUGCGAUAACGAACGAGACCUUAACCUGCUAAAUAGCCCGUACUGCUCUGGCAGUUCGCCGGCUUCUUAGAGGGACUAUCGG